rnacentral:lncRNA from 1 species
CUUUAUUUGGACAAUGAAAAAUGCAGUUGUUAAAAAUAGACAAUACAGAUGAUUCAGAUGAUGUUACUGAUGAAAAUAACAGAUGUCAAUUACUGAGCAUUUAUGGCACUCUUACAUACAUUAACUUAUUUAAAGUUCAGAACAACCAAGGAAAUGAGCAACCUGUGGCGGGCGUGAGAGGUUCUGUGGCACAAAAGGAAGAUAGGCAUUCAAAGAACACCAGGAUAGAAGAGCCGCAGUAGGCCGGGCGCGGAGGCUCACGCCUGUAAUCCCAGCACUUUGGGAGGCCGAGGCGGGCGGAUCAAGAGGCCAGGAGAUCGAGACCAUCCUGGCUAACAGGGUGAAACCCCGUCUCAACUAAAAAUACAAAAAAUUAGCCGGGCGUGGUGGCACGCGCCUGUAGUCCCAGCUAUUCGGGAGGCUGAGGCAGGAGAAUCGCUUCAACCCGGGAGGCGGAGGUUGCAGUAAGCCGAGAUCGCGCCACUGCACUCCAGCCUGGGCGACAGAGCGAGAUUCGGUCCCCAAAGAGAAGAAGAAGACCCGCAGUAGGAGGAAGAGAGAGGAAGUGGAGUCGGCCAGCUGGGAUGCUGGAAGCCACUGGAUAGCUCAGGCUGAGAGAGGGCGCUGUGCUCCGCAAGCCUCCCUGCAACCGCAGGCCUCGGGCCGCCUUCCUCCAGGAAGACGCUCCAGACUUCUGGUAUCCGUUGAGAUCUAGUUUCCCUUGAGACGCUGCAAAGCGCAUCGUCCUUGAGCAUUUCUCCUCUCCCCAAGACCCUCCGAAGGAAGGAUGAGCGGACGGAAGAUUCACACCGAAGUGGUCGAGCGCCCAGAUCCCCGGCUUCCCCGGGAGCAUUUCCCAAGUUUCUUUCAUGGGUAAGAGUGGGCCCGGCAGGAUAAUGCCUCCGGUUCUAUGAGGAGCAGUGGGGGAGAUGCCCACGUGGCCACCUCUGUGGGCUACACGACCCAGGCCUUCCAGGAGGAGCGAGGAGUCCUGGGCCCGGGUCAGCGGUGCCAAAAGAAGCAGCAAGGCAAGGGGUCCCCUCCUACCUCAGGAUCUCUGUCCUACUGGGGUUAGGAGACGUUCAUCCAACUCCCUCUCCAAGUGUUGGAGAGGAGGCUAGGUCUUUCCCACGAGCUGGGGAGGAAGAGGUGGCAGAGGCGGAAGAGGAAGCCGGCUGAGAUGUGUGAAGCAGCUCUGGCUAUAACCGGUAGGGAGAGGGCGCGCGGGACCCAGGAGCCUCCGUGCGGAGCCAGGCCUCAGGAGCAGCCGCCUUGCUCCUGGAAGGGGUGCCUCCCUCCAUCUUCUGUCCAAAGACUGUAGGGAGACCUUCUCGCCUGGUGGGAAAGCGACGUCUCCCAUGCUUUCCCACCACGCAGGCCUUGUGUCCCUUUUCCUGCUAGUGUCUGACCGCCAGCCUGCGGGGGCUGCGGCUGCCGCGGUUCUACGCUGGGUGGAGGCUGCCCGCCCGCUAGCCAAGAGCCGCGCUAGGAGGCAAGAGUCGGGAAGUCGUGUGCAGGCCGGGAGGAGUCCCAAGCUCUGGGUCAGGGCUUUUUUUGCCAAUAGCCAAAUUCAACGUGUAAAAGACAGAGAGCUCACAUCUGUCUGUUCGUGAGCUUCAGUCGGAACAACAAGGAAGGCCCUCAAGAUCCCUAGGAGGGUGGCGGAAGGGUCUCUAGCGGCGAUAUCCGCGUCGGGGGCGGUGAGCCAAGGACUGUCAGGAGCCUGCGUGAACCCAGCCCCCGGGUAGCGCAAACACCACCGCAGACAAGCGCCCCGCGUGUAGGGAAAUCGCAGGGGUCAGAGCAGCUGGAGUGUGGUGGACUAGCCUCAACCAGGGAGAGCUCCCUUCUUGACCACGGUCUGUCCCUCGCCAGGUAAGAGGAGACGAGUGUCAGUACAGCCUCCUCUCCCCUAGCCAGACGCUCAGGGUCACCACCUUCCCCUCUGCUCGCCCGUCGCCAUUCUUCCAACCACUCGCUGCCAAAGAUUCCACCAACAGUCACCCACAGGACAACCCAGGCCUCCUUUCAGCAGAGGCUCCCGCCCCGCAGCCACCGCGCCCUCUCACCCCCGCAGUUCUGCCCGCCGCCUCUGCCCAGUCUGUGCACUUCACCUCCCUCGCUCCCGCUCUCCCCUGAGCUUUACAGUGGACACAGGGUUCGUCCCAACCCUUCUUGGGAGUACUGAAUGGAAAAGGGGGAGGGUGCACAAUUGCUUGGUAGAGUGUAGACAGACAUUGCGGGAUUUGACUGUGGUACUAUCCCUUUGAUGUCCUAGUGAUUUUUACACCUGCCUUCUGCUUAGGGCACCGGCCACAGUUUUCCAUUAGUGCCUACUCCACCUGCUGUCGUUGUUGGGUAAGCGAACAUCGCCCUCCUGUACCACCCAGUCAAUAAAUGGGCGGUCCUGGAGGACCUCACCCGCCGCUCACCCCCCUCCCAACCUCGCGGCCAUCGCCUCCUGUCGCCUCUUCCGAAGGCCUAAGAAGCAUGUUAGCUGCGAACUGAGGUGAGGAGGCUCAGCUGACCGCCUGUGUCAGCUGACGACGUGUGCCGCACACAAACGCCACGACUUGGCUUGGCCUCUCUCUCUCUUAGUUAUUUGCAGCUCAGCCCAAUCGGCGCCUCUGGGAUGGCGGAGGCGGCAAAGAUGGUGGGCUUCUUGGGUACACCUCCAGGAGAGCUGCCAUCUCUGCACGGUGGUGUACACCUGAGCGAGACGCUCAGUCGCUCUCUAAAGCCCCUUCUGCGAAUGGUGGACACGGAGAUAAAUAAGAGGGUGUGUCAUGAGAGGCCGUCCACCAGGACUUGCCCUCCUUCGCCAGGGUUUGCACCUUGCAGGGAGACUCUUCUGCCUCUGGCUCUUGGAGCAGGCCGGCUGACAGCGGAGUAAAGAAAGAUUACUGCGGGUGGGCAGUCAGUGCAAAACAACUCCCUGACCGGUAAUCGAACCCGGGAUGCGGUGGUGAAAGGACUGAAUCACAGCCACUACACCAGCACGGGGGCACGGGAGAGUCUUUCUCAACCUUAUUGCCAUUUAAGUGACUGUUUCUGAGUGCGCUGGGAGGACUUGGGCCUUGUGGGGGUCGCUGGUCGCUCCUGGAGUCGUCUCACAAGGCCUUUCCCUCCCUCCUUUCUCCAAAAGAGGAGCCCGCAGGCGACACACCCAGCACUCUGCGAGGCCCACCAAGGCCCUGAUUCCCGAGUCCUGGAGCGAGUUGCAGCGCCCUGGCUGCAGCUGACCACUGACCUAGAGAUGUGCCUUUGCGAAGUGGCAGCGCAUGGAGAAACAGUAGCGGGUCGCUGGGGCCAGAGCCGCCCACCGGGUAGCCAGGAGCAGGCCGGAGCGAGGAGGCUCCCGGGGUGAGACCGGGGCACCCUGAACAUCAUAAAGGACUCAGACCUUGGCAUUCCCGACGUCAUAAAGGACUCACACGGAUGCGGAAACCGAGACGGGCUGGAUGGAAAACUCUUUCCAGACAGACUCCGGGGCCCUCAACUGGUCUCCGACCUUCCCCUGCAACCUGCGACACCUGCCAUUUUCCCAUCUUAGGCUCCAGAAGCAGAAUCAAGUGGGAUGUCUUGGAAGAAAAACAAACAAAAGGCCCACUAGGUGGAGUGAAAUGGAUCAGGAGCAAUUAUGUUCAAUUUCACCUUUAAGUUUUCUCAAAAGGAGGAGCAUUAAGAAUCAGCCACCUUAGUACAUACUUAAAGAUUUACUGAAACCUGAUCCUGUCCCCGCUGAUGAAACAUCAGAGGAAUGGGAUCCUGUAGGUGAAGAUCAUCAGCUUAUAAAAUCCUGUUGCCAUCAAUGGGGGUAGCAGGAAAAUGAUGAAGAUUGGUUAAGGGGCCAGUGGACUCAGCAUUGAAAUGAAUCAUGGACUUGAAGCCAAAAGACUCAGUUUGUGUCCCAGCUCUCUCAAGCAAAGCCCCCAAGUCCCAGUUUCCUCAUCUAUAAAAAAUAAUAAAAAUACUUAAUGGACAAAGUUGUGUGGGAAUCAAAUGAGAUAAAGUAUGCGCUGCAUAUGCCCUAAAGUCUUAUUUAAAUAAAGGCAUUCUUUUCAUCUGAGAAAUUGAAGAAAAAGAUGCCCUGAACAAGAAAGACAGGAGAAAAGAUUUUUUUUUUUUUUAAUGAAGGAUAAAAUGAUGAAAUCCCCCCAGGAGAAGAUAGUCAUUGGACAAAAGUCCACAGGUCGAGAGGAACCAUACUUGAAGAAACAUACCUGAAGGGUUUCAUCCAUAUGUGGGCCUGAUUUGGAUGAUAAAAUCCUGCAUCUUGAGCCUGAUCUUGAUGCUGCCUGUGUUCUGAUGCCAUCAGGAGUUGAGAGUCUAGGGGUUUUAGAAAGGGUGAAUGUAUUUUCCCAUAGGCAAGGAACAUAAUCAAUGGCCAAAAUGUGCACUGUGACAGAUUAAAGGUUGCUACAAAUUCUCUGAUACCCUUCCAUUAAGAGGUAGGGCAGAUAUUCCCUCCCCUCAAAUCUGGGUGGGCUCCAUGACUUGCUUUGAUCAACAGAAAACGGCAGCAGUGAUGCUGGGCCAGUUGUUGGAUCCAGGCCUUAAGAACCAACAACUUCCACUUAAGUUCUCUUGGAACACUGAGUCCCUGACUACCCUAAUAUCAUGUUGGAAAGGCUACAUGUAGGCACUCUAGUUGCCAGUCCCAGCCAAGACCAGCUUUUCAGCCAUCCCCAUCACUAAAUUUGUAAAUGAAGCCAUCUGGAAUCUCCAGACCAGCUCAUUUGGCAGCUGGGUAUCAUCAAGUUAUCUCUGCUGACUCCACAUGGAACAAAGGAAUCACCCAGCUGAGCCCUAUUCAAACUAUUGACCAAAAAAAUAGUGAGACAUAAUAAAAUGAUGUUUUAAG